GCACCUUCUUAUCACACAGCACCCCCGAUGCGAGCUUCCACUUCAUCCAUCCCGCCCCAAUACGGUGCGAGACAUCCUUGUCAAUCUCACCGUUACUCUGGAUCACGGACCCAAGAUACUUGAAACUAUCCCUCUUACAUACCUCCUGUGCUUUCAGCUUUACUACUACCUCAUUCUCCCGCCUCAAGUCAUUAAACUUGCAUUUCACAUACUCUGUCUUGCUUUUGCUCACCCUGAACCCUUUAGACUCAAGAGUUUGCCUCCACACCUCUAAUUUGUCAUUCACACCCCCUCGAGUCUCAUCUAUCAGAACUACAUUAUCUGCAAAAAGCAUACACCACGGCACCUCCCCUUGAAUACGCCCGUCAACACAUCCAUCACCAACGCAAACAAAAAGGGACUAAGAGUUGAUCCCUGAUGCAAUCCUAUCAGGACAGUGAAAUGCUCUG
rnacentral:lncRNA from 1 species